UCCACCAACGUAAAAAAAAAACAUCGCAUAGCAACACAAGCUCAGAUGGGACAUAGAUGAACUUUACCACUAGGGAACUGCUACCAAAUUCAGAAAGGGGUUCAUAACUCAAAAAGCAAAAUUGCGCCAAAGUGUCUACGCCAAAAAUUAACUAGUGUUACAAAAACCGAAGAUAUGUACCAACAUUUACACCAUCCGACAGUUAAAAUUAGACAAAAUCACAGCAAACAAAAAACGAAAUACGUAUCUUUCCCCUGAAGAAGACACCAUCCAAAGUGUCGAAACGUCGGGUUAGAUAACAACUCGUUUUGAUUUAACAAGACUGCGUAGCCGUCAAAAUCCGAAUUUA